rnacentral:rRNA from 1 species
UUCCGAACCCGGAAGCUAAGCUCUUCAGCGCCGAUGGUACUGCAUGGGGGACUGUGUGGGAGAGUAGGACGCCGCCGGAC